GUGCUCACUUGAGCAGCACAUAUCCUAAAAUUAGAAUGAUACAGAGAAGAUUAGUGUGGCCCUUGUGCAAGGAUGACACGCAAAUUCAUGAAGGGUUCCAUAUUUUU
rnacentral:snRNA from 1 species